AUUAUCAUUGAGACAUUGACCAAUAAUACAACACUACGCGGAUCACAAACAUUUACCAUUGGAUUAGAUUUAAUCCAACGGACUAAAUCUAACAAUACUUUCUCUCUCUCUCUCUUUUUCUCUGUGUCGUAGACUCUUUGCCUAUCUCUUUGUCUUCGUUUUUUUUCUUUCUGAAAACUCAUCUCUCCAUAGAUUUUCUUUCGAUAUCUAUUAACAAAAUCAAAACUUGUUUCAUUCUUCCUCAUUCAUCUUCUUCAUAUUUUUCUCAAUCUAAACAUAUUCUUCAAGCCAUGGCUGUAGGAAGACAUGACAACGACGCUAGAUCUGUCUCUUCGUUACUUCUCCUUUUACUUCUCCGUCCAUUGCCGACUCGGUUUCCCAUCCCCAAAUCCAAUCAAGGAUGGUGGUCUUAUGAAGUACCUAAGUGUUACUCGUCCUCUGUUUUUUCUGUGGUGAUGCGGGGACUAGGUGAUGCAACGACAACAUUCUGGAGGCGGCUUCUCUGGAGGCUGGAGGCUAGAGGCUAGAGGCGGAGGAUUAGGGUUGCAGGUGGAGGCUGUGCUGGUGUAGAUGUGCGGAGCAAGAAUAAAAAGAGAAGAGGGAGAAGAUAAGAGACGUAAGGAAGACGAAGAAGCUGGAAGAGGAAGGUGACGACAGAGCGGCGUAGAUUAGGUUUAGUUUUGUUUGGUUUAUUAGGUUUGGUUUAGAUAGGGUUAGUUAAUAAACCGGGUUUGUUUGUAAACCAAUAUUAAGAAAUAAACCGAUAUUAACUAUAAACCAAUUAUUUGUUUUUUUUUUCAUCAAACCAAUUAUUUGUAUACUGAUAUUGAUUAAUAAAUAAAAAUUUAAUUUUUAAUUAUGAAAGAA